rnacentral:rRNA from 1 species
AGAGUUUGAUCCUGGCUCAGGAUGAACGCUAGCUACAGGCUUAACACAUGCAAGUCGAGGGGCAGCAUGGACCCAGCUUUGCUGGGUUUGAUGGCGACCGGCGCACGGGUGAGUAACGCGUAUCCAACCUGCCCUUUACUCCGGGAUAGUCUCCUGAAAGGGAGUUUAAUACCGGAUGUGUUUGUCUUUCCGCAUGGGAGCGACAAAUAAAGAUUAAUUGGUAAAGGAUGGGGAUGCGUCCCAUUAGCUUGUUGGCGGGGUAACGGCCCACCAAGGCGACGAUGGGUAGGGGUUCUGAGAGGAAGGUCCCCCACAUUGGAACUGAGACACGGUCCAAACUCCUACGGGAGGCAGCAGUGAGGAAUAUUGGUCAAUGGGCGGGAGCCUGAACCAGCCAAGUAGCGUGAAGGACGACGGCCCUACGGGUUGUAAACUUCUUUUAUAAGGGAAUAAAGUUCGCCACGUGUGGUGUUUUGUAUGUACCUUAUGAAUAAGCAUCGGCUAAUUCCGUGCCAGCAGCCGCGGUAAUACGGAAGAUGCGAGCGUUAUCCGGAUUUAUUGGGUUUAAAGGGAGCGUAGGCGGGCUUUUAAGUCAGCGGUCAAAUGUCGUGGCUCAACCGUCAAAUUGCCGUUGAAACUGUAAGCCUUGAGUCUGCACAGGGCACAUGGAAUUCGUGGUGUAGCGGUGAAAUGCUUAGAUAUCACGAAGAACUCCGAUCGCGAAGGCAUUGUGCCGGGGCAUAACUGACGCUGAGGCUCGAAAGUGCGGGUAUCAAACAGGAUUAGAUACCCUGGUAGUCCGCACGGUAAACGAUGAAUGCUCGCUAUGGGCGAUAUAUUGUCCGUGGCCAAGCGAAAGCGUUAAGCAUUCCACCUGGGGAGUACGCCGGCAACGGUGAAACUCAAAGGAAUUGACGGGGGCCCGCACAAGCGGAGGAAC